rnacentral:rRNA from 1 species
AACGAACGCUGGCGGCGUGCCUAACACAUGCAAGUCGUGCGAGAAAGUUCCUUCGGGAGCGAGUAAAGCGGCGCACGGGUGAGUAACACGUAGGUAACCUGCCCCCCAGUCUGGAACAACUAGAGGAAACUCUAGCUAAUGCCGGAUGAGACCACGGUCCCUUCGGGGGUUGCGGCCAAAGAUGGCCUCUACUUGUAAGCUAUCGCUGAGGGAUGGGCCUGCGGACCAUUAGCUUGUUGGUGAGGUAACGGCUCACCAAAGGCUGUGAUGGCUAGCUGGUCUGAGAGGAUGACCAGCCACACUGGGACUGAGACACGGCCCAGACUCCUACGGGAGGCAGCAGUGGGGAAUAUUGCGCAAUGGGCGAAAGACCUGACGCAGCGACGCCGCCGUGGGUGAUGAA